AACGAACGCUGGCGGCAUGCCUAACACAUGCAAGUCGAACGAGACCUUCGGGUCUAGUGGCGCACGGGUGCGUAACGCGUGGGAACCUGCCCUUAGGUUCGGAAUAACUCCCCGAAAGGGGUGCUAAUACCGGAUAAUGUCUCCGGACCAAAGAUUUAUCGCCUUUGGAUGGGCCCGCGUUGGAUUAGCUAGUUGGUAGGGUAAAAGCCUACCAAGGCGACGAUCCAUAGCUGGUCUGAGAGGAUGAUCAGCCACACUGGGACUGAGACACGGCCCAGACUCCUACGGGAGGCAGCAGUGGGGAAUAUUGGACAAUGGGCGAAAGCCUGAUCCAGCAAUGCCGCGUGAAUGAUGAAGGCCUUAGGGUUGUAAAGCUCUUUUACCCGGGAUGAUAAUGACAGUACCGGGAGAAUAAGCUCCGGCUAACUCCGUG
rnacentral:rRNA from 1 species